ACACUUCCAUUUCAUCACCUUUACACAUCUCCUUCAACUUCACUGAUGGAAUACAAACACAUAGAAGACCCUAACCCUAACCCAAACUACAACCCUAACCUACUAACCCAAAUGGAAAUGAACCAAUUCUUCAAUACCCAAACCACACCUUACACUAGCUACAAAUACAACACUGCCUCCUCAUCUCAUAACAAGAAACACAAAUCAAACAACCAACAUGAAACCUA
rnacentral:lncRNA from 1 species